rnacentral:lncRNA from 1 species
GGAGAGAGAAGCAGCCGUAUCCUGAUCACCCAGAGAGAUUUGAGGACUGGAGACAGGUGCUGUGUGGAGAGGGUUUGACUGGGCGCUGUUACUGGGAGGUUGAGUGGAGUGGGGGGGCUGUUAUAGGAGUGACAUAUAAAGGAAUCAACAGGAGAGGAGUGGUUAAGUACUGUUGUCUUGGAUCCAAUGACAAGUCCUGGAGUCUGUUCUGCUAUGACAACAGUUACUCUGCCUGUCACAAUAAUAACUCCACUACCAUAGACGUCCCCUCCUCCAGCUCCCACAGAGUAGGAGUGUAUCUGGACUGGUCAGCCGGCACUCUGUCCUUCUAUAGAGCCUCCUCUGACACACUGACCCACCUGAUCACAUUCACCUCCACAUUCACUGAGCCCCUCUAUCCAGGGUUUUGGGUUUAUUCUGUUGGCUCUUCAGUGUCCCUGAAAUAAUAACUGGACACACACACACACACACACACACACACACACACACACACACACACACACACACACACACACACACACACACACACACACACACACACACACACACACACACACACUGGACAAACACACACACACACACACUGGACAAACACACACACACUGGACACACACACAAACACACACACACAAACACACACAAACACACACACACACACUGGACACACAAACUGGGCACACACACACUGGACACACACACACACUGGAACACACACACACACACACACACACACACACUGAACACACACUGAACACACACUGAACACACACAAACUGGACACAAAAUGGACACACACACUCAACACACACACUGAACAAACACACACAAACACAUUCUGGACACACGCACACUGGACAAACGAAAACACACACACACUCACACACAUACACACACACACACUGGACACACACACACACACACACACACACACACACACUGGACACACACACACACACACACACACACACACACACACACACACUGGUCAAACAAAAAUACACACACACACACACACACACACACUGGACACACACACACACACACACUGGACAAACAAAGUGGACAAACACACACACUGGACACACACUCACACAAACACUGGAUACACACAGACACACACACACUGGACACACACACUAGACAAACACACACACACACUGGACACACACACACACACACUGGACACACACACACACACACUGGACACACACACACACACUGGACACACACACACACACUGGACACACACACACACACUGGACACACACACACACACACACACACUGGACACACACACACACACACACACACUGGACACACACACACACACACUGGACAAAACACACACACACACACACACACACUGGACAAACACACACACACACACACUGGACAAACACACACACAAACACACUGGACAAACACACACACACACACACACACACACACUGGACAAACACACACACACACUGGACAAACACACACACACUGGACUCACACACACACACACACUGGACUCACACACACUGGACUCACACACACUGGACACACACACACACUGGACACACACACACACACACACUGGACACACACACACACACACUGGACACACACACACACACACUGGACACACACACGCAAACACUGGACAAACACACACACACACACACACACACUGGACAAACACACACACACACACACUGGACAAACACACACACACACUGGACAAACACACACACACACUGGACAAACACACACACACACACACUGGACAAACACACACACACACACACACACUGGACAAACACACACACACUGGACAAAAACAAACACACACACACACACACACACACACACACACACUGGACAAA